rnacentral:rRNA from 1 species
GCUGGCGGCGUGCCUAAUACAUGCAAGUCGAGCGAGCGGAACUAACAGAUUUACUUCGGUAAUGACGUUAGGAAAGCGAGCGGCGGAUGGGUGAGUAACACGUGGGGAACCUGCCCCAUAGUCUGGGAUACCACUUGGAAACAGGUGCUAAUACCGGAUAAGAAAGCAGAUCGCAUGAUCAGCUUUUAAAAGGCGGCGUAAGCUGUCGCUAUGGGAUGGCCCCGCGGUGCAUUAGCUAGUUGGUAAGGUAAAGGCUUACCAAGGCGAUGAUGCAUAGCCGAGUUGAGAGACUGAUCGGCCACAUUGGGACUGAGACACGGCCCAAACUCCUACGGGAGGCAGCAGUAGGGAAUCUUCCACAAUGGACGCAAGUCUGAUGGAGCAACGCCGCGUGAGUGAAGAAGGUUUUCGGAUCGUAAAGCUCUGUUGUUGGUGAAGAAGGAUAGAGGUAGUAACUGGCCUUUAUUUGACGGUAAUCAACCAGAAAGUCACGGCUAACUACGUGCCAGCAGCCGCGGUAAUACGUAGGUGGCAAGCGUUGUCCGGAUUUAUUGGGCGUAAAGCGAGCGCAGGCGGAAGAAUAAGUCUGAUGUGAAAGCCCUCGGCUUAACCGAGGAACUGCAUCGGAAACUGUUUUUCUUGAGUGCAGAAGAGGAGAGUGGAACUCCAUGUGUAGCGGUGGAAUGCGUAGAUAUAUGGAAGAACACCAGUGGCGAAGGCGGCUCUCUGGUCUGCAACUGACGCUGAGGCUCGAAAGCAUGGGUAGCGAACAGGAUUAGAUACCCUGGUAGUCCAUGCCGUAAACGAUGAGUGCUAAGUGUUGGGAGGUUUCCGCCUCUCAGUGCUGCAGCUAACGCAUUAAGCACUCCGCCUGGGGAGUACGACCGCAAGGUUGAAACUCAAAGGAAUUGACGGGGGCCCGCACAAGCGGUGGAGCAUGUGGUUUAAUUCGAAGCAACGCGAAGAACCUUACCAGGUCUUGACAUCUAGUGUCAUUUGUAGAGAUACAAAGUUCCCUUCGGGGACGCUAAGACAGGUGGUGCAUGGCUGUCGUCAGCUCGUGUCGUGAGAUGUUGGGUUAAGUCCCGCAACGAGCGCAACCCUUGUUAUUAGUUGCCAGCAUUAAGUUGGGCACUCUAAUGAGACUGCCGGUGACAAACCGGAGGAAGGUGGGGAUGACGUCAAGUCAUCAUGCCCCUUAUGACCUGGGCUACACACGUGCUACAAUGGGCAGUACAACGAGAAGCGAGCCUGCGAAGGCAAGCGAAUCUCUGAAAGCUGUUCUCAGUUCGGACUGCAGUCUGCAACUCGACUGCACGAAGCUGGAAUCGCUAGUAAUCGCGGAUCAGCACGCCGCGGUGAAUACGUUCCCGGGCCUUGUACACACCGCCCGUCACACCAUGGGAGUCUGCAAUGCCCAAAGCCGGUGGCCUAACCUUCGGGAAGGAGCCGUCUAAGGCAGGGCAGAUGACUGGGG